CUCCUAUGGGAGGCAGCAGUGGGGAAUAUUGCACAAUGGGCGCAAGCCUGAUGCAGCGACGCCGCGUGAGGGAUGACGGCGUUCGGGUUGUAAACCUAAUUCGCCAGGGACGAAGCGCAAGUGACGGUACCUGGAUAAGAAGCACCGGCUAACUACGUGCCAGCAGCCGCGGUAAUACGUAGGGUGCGAGCGUUGUCCGGAAUUAUUGGG
rnacentral:rRNA from 1 species